AGAGGGGCCACCUGAAAAACAUUUCAGCAAAGAACUGUAACAUCAAGACACUGUCACCAGUGCCUUUUCCACUAAUCACUACUAAUAUGAGAGAAGCAGAGAGACCCAAGCCAAUGAAAAGCUGUAGGAAGCUGCAGAACACAUGAAAAUCCCAGCUGGUGAAUAAAAUCUAUCACGUUGGCAAAACAGUGGCACUUUGCUAAGCAGCGUGGGAGAUAUUAAGUGAACAAGUGGCAUUCUCUACCUUUGAAGAACUUUCCACUUAUUGGGGAGGUUCUAUAAAGGAGGCAAAGGUUUUGAAGACUAUCAAAGACAUCACAAUGGUAUAUUCCUAAGGGAUUUAGAGGCUCUUCAUCAACCAAAGGAAAAGCACCAGUGAGAGUCAGGAUGUGAU